UACAGAAGCCUCGAGCGUUACCCGGAUUUACUGGGCGUAAAGGGUGCGUAGGCGGUUAUGUUAGUCGAGCGUUAAAACUUCGGGCUCAACCCGAAGAUCGCGUUCGAAACGGCAUAACUAGAAGAAGUGAGAGGUCUAGAGAACUCUCGGUGUAGGGGUGAAAUCCGUUGAUAUCGAGGGGAAUACCAAAUGCGAAGGCACUAGACUGGCACUUUCUUGACGCUGAGGCACGAAAGCGUGGGUAGCGAACGGG
rnacentral:misc_RNA from 1 species